GAAUGGCUAAACAUUAAAUGCUGCCUGACCAUCUGGAGGUUUGUUGCUUUCAUUACAGAUUUUCCACAUCAGACACAAGAGAAAAUGAAGCAGAACCUGCCAGCAAGUAGCAAGAAAUAGACAGCAUUCAGGUUCUUUUGAAGACCCUGA